rnacentral:rRNA from 1 species
AGCAGCCGCGGUAAUUCCAGCUCCAAUAGCGUAUAUUAAAGUUGUUGCAGUUAAAAGCUCGUAGUUGAAUUUCGGGGUUAGUAGGUCGGUCGUGCCACAGGUAUGUACUGGUCUCACUGAUUCCUCCUUCCUGAUGAACCGUAAUGCCAUUAAUUUGGUGUUGCGGGGAAACUGGACUGUUACUUUGAAAAAUUAGAGUGUUUAAAGCAGGCUAACGCUUGAAUACAUUAGCAUGGAAUAAUGAAAUAGGACGUUCGAUCCUAUUUUGUUGGUUUCUAGGAUUGACGUAAUGAUUAAUAGGGAUAGUUGGGGGCAUUAGUAUUCAAUUGUCAGAGGUGAAAUUCUUGGAUUUAUUGAAGACUAACUACUGCGAAAGCAUUUGCCAAGGAUGUUUUCAUUAAUCAAGAACGAAAGUUAGGGGAUCGAAGACGAUCAGAUACCGUCGUAGUC